rnacentral:rRNA from 1 species
UACAGAGGGUGCGAGCGUUAAUCGGAAUUACUGGGCGUAAAGCGUGCGUAGACGGUUAUUUAAGUCGGAUGUGAAAGCCCCGGGCUCAACCUGGGAAUUGCAUUCGAGACUGAAUAGCUAGGGUGCGGUAGAGGGAAGCGGAAUUUCCGGUGUAGCGGUGAAAUGCGUAGAGAUGUGGAGGAACACCAGUGGCGAAGGCGGCUUUUUGGUCUGUAACUGACGCUGAGGCGCGAAAGCGUGGGGAGCAAACAGG